GACGAGGGCGCGAGGCGUGUCCGGAUUUAUUGGGCGUAAAGAGCUCGUAGGCGGCUUGUCGCGUCGACUGUGAAAUCCCGCGGCUCAACCUCGGGCCUGCAGUGGGUACGGGGCAGACUAGAGUGCGGUAGGGGAGAUUGGAAUUCCUGGUCGUAGCGGUGAAAUGCGCAGAUAUCAGGAGGAACACCGGUGGCGAAGGCGGAUCUCUGGGCCAUUACUGACGCUGAGGAGCGAAAGCGUGGGGAGCGAACAGG
rnacentral:rRNA from 1 species